GAUGAACGCUGGCGGCGUGCUUAACACAUGCAAGUCGAACGAUGAAGCCCAGCUUGCUGGGUGGAUUAGUGGCGAACGGGUGAGUAACACGUGAGCAACCUGCCCCUGACUCUGGGAUAAGCGCUGGAAACGGCGUCUAAUACUGGAUAUGUCCCGUCACCGCAUGGUGUGCGGGUGGAAAGAUUUUUCGGUUGGGGAUGGGCUCGCGGCCUAUCAGCUUGUUGGUGAGGUAAUGGCUCACCAAGGCGUCGACGGGUAGCCGGCCUGAGAGGGUGACCGGCCACACUGGGACUGAGACGCGGCCCAGACUCCUACGGGAGGCAGCAGUGGGGAAUAUUGCACAAUGGGCGGAAGCCUGAUGCAGCAACGCCGCGUGAGGGAUGACGGCCUUCGGGUUGUAAACCUCUUUUAGCAGGGAAGAAGCGAAAGUGACGGUACCUGCAGAAAAAGCACCGGCUAACUACGUG
rnacentral:rRNA from 1 species